ACCUCUGGCUUCCCUGUCUCCCCUUUCGUAUAUCAUAUCCUCGAAAACGCACAACUUUGAAAAAUGCCAAAAAUAUCUCACAUUGUGCCCGGGCAAUUGACCCAUGCAAUUUUAGGUAUAGACUUCAGCAACACCGGUUAAUCCAAGUGGCAGAGGAGGCGGGGAAUGUCGAUGGGCUUCCCAGGGUAUUUGGGCGUUAUGACCCCGGCAGCCGGGCAUCAAGCUCCUAGUCAUCGGGACAGGUGAAAAAUUAUAUGCCAGCAGUGGGGCAUAGCACAAAUCGCUGACGUCCUGCAUGGAUUUCCGAUACACCGACACUUACCGUCUAUGUGUGCGCUUCAAUUUCAAAAGAUAACAAUUUUAAUUACAACGUUUUGCGAAAUAUUGGCAACCGCAGCAGUCUGGGCACUCAGGCAACCAGCCGCCUCGUGGAAUGGAAUCCCACCGUAAAAUACACGACACUGUACAUAUAGAAUGGGUCCAGUCUGGUGGUGGCUCAAAUGCGAGGGGAGAAGAGUACCUGUGGUAUUAUUAAGGAGACUACGUGUAUACAUACAUAUGAUUCUUUAUGAAAUAUGUGAUGGAAAUUCUUCCGAGCCUUCGAGGCCUUAAUAAAUUUGUAAAGUGAAUACUU
ensembl:ncRNA lncRNA:CR40465 long non-coding RNA:CR40465